ACAUCAAAUAUGGCAGCCCUUGAGGGAGUGCUCUAAAGACUCGGUGCAAGGUGUUUGGACCACAGCCUGGCCGUGGCACAACCUGAACCUUUGCCUUUGCUCUCUGUUCAUCUGUGCCACUCAAUAACUGCUGUGAGCUGGGGGAUGAUGAUUUCUCAUCAUGGAGAAAUACGUCUUUCUGAAGGAGCGGACAAGUGAAUCUUCUGUGGGAGGAAUGUUCUCAUUUCUGAACAGAAGAGGUGUUAUUGUGAGCACAAAGCUGUGAUCCGGCCAGGCCAGAGAGUACUAAGAAAGGGGGAUGCAAAAAUAGCGCAGGCUGAUUCUGAGCAAGCAGGAGGUUCAUCGCUCACCACAGAGUGAGUUCUCAGCACAUGGCCACAUUUUGUGAGUCUACAGGUCGUGUCUACCCCUUCUGUUAAUCAUCUCCACAGGCAGAUGCAGGAGUUCCAUACAGAAGUGUGGGGAGAGACACUGGUUCAUUUUCCUGCACAGACAGUAAAUGAAAUGACAUUUCUUUGUAGUGACAACAACAGUAAUACUGAGAGCAAAGAAGCUUUUGGCUGGUGGAGAUCAGAAGAGUGUGUAGCAGCACAGAAGGCAUUGGGUUUCUCCGAGGCUUCUGAGUGUUGGGAUGAUCCCUAAAGAGUGAGAUGGGGCUGAGAAAGGAGUCAAAGGAGCAAAGGUGCAGGGUGGAGAUGGGGUAAAAUGCAGAAGUGCUACCAUGAUGUAUUUAAUGUGAGCUUGUAUACAAGAUGGACAACAUCUGAUUACACUGUUUGAUGGUGACAGGAUAAGGAGAAGGGUUUUCUACUAAAAGAGGAGUGAUUAAGGUUAGUUACUUGAAGGAUGCCGUUGAUUCAGAUGCUGGUGAGGCACUGGCACAAGCUGCCCAGAGGAGCAGUGCAUGACCCAUCCCUGGAGGUGCUCAAGGACGGGUUGGAUGUGGACGUAGGAUUCUAGGAUACGAUGGUUAACUCUUUGAUCUUUAAGGUCCCUUCCAAACAAAAACAUUCCCUUCUAUGACUCUAUGAUUGACUGGGGAUGGACAGGCAGUUGCAAGAAAACAGAGCAAGGAGGAGAGCUGACGCAAAGAGACCGAUGGGACACUGCAUGCAGAAUGAGGGCAUGAUCAGCAAGAUCAGCUCACAUCAAAGUAGGCGCUGUGAGGAGAGAUCUCCAAAAGAUGUUGGGGGAAGCACAAUGGACCAUGGCGUGUCCUCGUGUCCCUGCCCUCCUGCUGCUGGUGGUGGUUGGUACUGGUGUGAACACCUGGGACAUCUGUAGCUCCAGGACUGAUGGUGAGUGUGAGAAUGGGUCCAGAAAAUGAGACAUCAUGGGGGUGGAGUUGGGAAGAAAGAAAGGCUUCUUUCCCCUCCGAAUUCCAAAUGUCCACCCCUGGAGAGCAGAUUCUCCACGCAUUGAGUGCAGUGUGUUUUGCAACUAAAGAUUGUGGUGGAAUCCCCGUGCCAUCUCUCCAGGUACUCUCCAGGCUCCAGCCCUGGUCCUUAACCCUUCCAGAGCUCAGGAAGGGGAAAUCGUCCUGGCUCAAUGUGUCCUUCAGAAGAUGGUUCCUGCUGCCCGAAUUGUCUUCUGCAAGGAUGGGAUGGAGCUGUACAGCAUGAAAGCCCAUCAGCAUACGGUCAUCUACUCCAUGCUGCUGAACAUCUCUGCAAGAAGCAGUGGGACAUACACGUGUGCAUACCAGCAGAGGAAUGAGAGCAAUUGGCUAAGGAGAUCGCCCCUCAGCACUCCCUUGGACCUACAUGUCACAGGUGGGACAUGAUGCCAGGGUUGUGCGGACGCAGGGGAUGGGGGGACUGAACACCACAUAGAUUUUCUGGAUCAAGAAAUGCCACAGAGAGAAGUGGGCUCUGGAAUGGUCUCCCUCUCCAUCCCAUG